rnacentral:rRNA from 1 species
UUAUCGGGGGAUCCCUCGGA